CAGCUGCUUGAGUUGGAGCUUCUA
rnacentral:siRNA from 1 species